rnacentral:rRNA from 1 species
CAGUCGCCGCGGUAAUACGAAGGGGGCUAGCGUUGCUCGGAUUUACUGGGCGUAAAGGGCGCGUAGGCGGACAGUUAAGUUGGGGGUGAAAGCCCGGGGCUCAACCUCGGAAUUGCCUUCAAUACUGGCUGUCUUGAGUGUGAGAGAGGUGUGUGGAACUCCGAGUGUAGAGGUGAAAUUCGUAGAUAUUCGGAAGAACACCAGUGGUGAAGGCGACACACUGGCUCACUACUGACGCUGAGGCGCGAAAGCGUGGGGAGCAAACAGGAUUAGAUACCCGCGUAGUCCCUGUCUCUUAUAC